GUGGGAGCUGGCUUGCCAGCGAUGGCGUCAGGCCAGUCGAUACAGUGUUGACUGAUACACCGCAAUCGCUGGCAAGCCAGCUCCCAC
rnacentral:antisense_RNA from 2 species